rnacentral:rRNA from 1 species
AGCGAACGCUGGCGACAGGCCUAACACAUGCAAGUCGAACGAACUCUUCGGAGUUAGUGGCGGACGGGUGAGUAACACGUGGGAACGUGCCUUUUGGUUCGGAAUAACUCAGGGAAACUUGUGCUAAUACCGAAUGUGCCCUUCGGGGGAAAGAUUUAUCGCCAUUAGAGCGGCCCGCGUCUGAUUAGCUAGUUGGUGAGGUAAUGGCUCACCAAGGCUACGAUCAGUAGCUGGUCUGAGAGGAUGAUCAGCCACAUUGGGACUGAGACACGGCCCAAACUCCUACGGGAGGCAGCAGUGGGGAAUCUUGCGCAAUGGGCGAAAGCCUGACGCAGCCAUGCCGCGUGAAUGAUGAAGGUCUUAGGAUUGUAAAAUUCUUUCACCGGGGACGAUAAUGACGGUACCCGGAGAAGAAGCCCCGGCUAACUUCGUGCCAGCAGCCGCCGUAACAC